rnacentral:rRNA from 1 species
UAGGGAAUCUUCCGCAAUGGGCGAAAGCUUGACGGAGCAACGCCGCGUGAGUGAUGAAGGUCUUCGGAUCGUAAAACUCUGUUAUUAGGGAAGAACAAAUGUGUAAGUAACUAUGCACGUCUUGACGGUACCUAAUCAGAAAGCCACGGCUAACUACGUGCCAGCAGCCGCGGUAAUACGUAGGUGGCAAGCGUUAUCCGGAAUUAUUGGGCGUAAAGCGCGCGUAGGCGGUUUUUUAAGCCUGAUGUGAAAGCCCACGGCUCAACCGUGGAGGGUCAUUGGAAACUGGAAAACUUGAGUGCAGAAGAGGAAAGUGGAAUUCCAUGUGUAGCGGUGAAAUGCGCAGAGAUAUGGAGGAACACCAGUGGCGAAGGCGACUUUCUGGUCUGUAACUGACGCUGAUGUGCGAAAGCGUGGGGAUCAAACAGG